rnacentral:rRNA from 1 species
GACGAACGCUGGCGGCGUGCCUAAUACAUGCAAGUAGAACGCAGUCGCGAACGGGUGAGUAACGCGUAGGUACCUGCCUCAUAGCCGGGGAUAACUAUUUGAAACGAUAGCUAAUACCGUAUAUUGUGACAUUGACCUGUGUUGUAUUAGCUAGUUGGUGAGGUAAAGGCUCACCAAGGCGACGAUACAUAGCCGACCUGAGAGGGGGAUCGGCAACACUGGGACUGGGACACGGCCCAGACUCCUACGGGAGGCAGAAGUAGGGAAUCUUCGGCAAUGGACGAAAUUCUGACCGAGCAACGCCGCGUGAGUGAAGAAGGUUUUCGGAUCGUAAAACUCUGUUGUUAGGGAAGCGGUAUCUAACCAGAAAGCCACGGCUAACUACGUGCCAGCCGCCGCGGUAAUAC